UACAGAGGGUGCUAGCGUUAAUCGGAAUUACUGGGCGUAAAGGGUGUGUAGGCGGUUGGAUAAGUUAGAUGUGAAAUCCCUGGGCUUAACCUGGGAACUGCGUUUAAAACUGUUCAGCUAGAGUACUGUAGAGGAUAGUGGAAUUUCCAGUGUAGCGGUGAAAUGCGUAGAUAUUGGAAGGAACACCAGUGGCGAAGGCGACUAUCUGGACAGAUACUGACACUGAGACACGAAAGCGUGGGGAGCAAACAGG
rnacentral:rRNA from 1 species